rnacentral:rRNA from 1 species
UACGGAGGGGGCUAGCGUUAUUCGGAAUUACUGGGCGUAAAGCGCACGUAGGCGGAUCGGAAAGUCAGAGGUGAAAUCCCAGGGCUCAACCUUGGAACUGCCUUUGAAACUCCUGGUCUUGAGGUCGUGAGAGGUGAGUGGAAUUCCGAGUGUAGAGGUGAAAUUCGUAGAUAUUCGGAGGAACACCAGUGGCGAAGGCGGCUCACUGGCACGAUACUUACGCUGAGGUGCGAAAGCGUGGGGAGCAAACAGG